AACGAACGCUGGCGGCAGGCCUAACACAUGCAAGUCGAACGCGUGUAGCAAUACACGAGUGGCGCACGGGUGAGUAACACGUGGGAAUCAACCCAGAGGUUCGGAAUAACCGCGGGAAACUGCGGCUAAUACCGGAUAUCCCCUACGGGGGAAAGAUUUAUCGCCUUUGGACGAGCCGGCGUCCGAUUAGCUAGUUGGUGAGGUAACGGCUCACCAGGGCUACGAUCGGUAGCUGGUCUGAGGGGAUGAACAGCCACACUGGAACGGAGAGACGGUCCAGGCUCCGACGGGAGGGAGCGGUGGGGAAUAUUGGGCAAUGGAGGCAACUCUGACCCAGCCAUGCCGGGUGGGUGACGAAGGUCUUCGGAUUGUAAAGCCCUUUCGGCGGGGACGAUGAUGACGGUACCCGCAGAAGAAGCCCCGGCUAACUUCGUGCCAGCAGCCGCCGUAACAC
rnacentral:rRNA from 1 species